rnacentral:rRNA from 1 species
GGUCCCGCCUGCCCAGUGACUCUUUAAACGGCCGCGGUAUCCUAACCGUGCAAAGGUAGCAUAAUCACUUGUCCCUUAAAUCGGGACUAGAAUGAACGGCUAAAUGAGGACUAAACUGUCUCUUACAGGCUAGCCAAUGAAAUUGAUUUUCCAGUACAAAAGCUGGAAUAUAACCACAAGACGAGAAGACCCUGUGGAGCUUAAAACCAAAUUCACCAAACAUGUCUCAUUGGUUUUCAGUUGGGGCGACUUCGGAGUACAAAAUAACCUCCAAACAUAAAACUAAUUAAGAACAACACAUCAAAAUAUGUUUAUAAUGACCCAGCAACCCUGUAGUUGUCUGAUUAAUGAACCAAGUUACCCCAGGGAUAACAGCGCCAUCCCCUUCUAGAGUCCCUAUCGACAAGGGGGUUUACGACCUCGAUGUUGGAUCAGGACACCCCAAUGGUGCAGCCGCCAUUAACGGUUCGUUUGUUCAACGAUUAAAGUCCUA